GCAGUGCAGUCCCAUGGCAGCUGCCCCAGCAGAGAGCUCCGGCAGCCACGGGAAGGGGCUGGGGUUGAGCCGCAGUGACAGCAGCCCUGCCUUGGACUAUUCAGGGGACACCUUUGAGUCCUUCAGCGAGGAGCAGGAGAGUGAAACACCUGGAUCCUGGUGUUCCACAGAGGAUUUGGAGGGGGCAGCUGCGUCAGAGGCUUUGGAAAGCUCAUCAUCACUGGCAGGCCAAAGUCCUGCAGAGGAGGAGUUUGAAGCAGUGGAUCCUGCAGCCAUGGAAAGAGCUGCCAUAGGAAAAUGGAUUGAUGCCAUGGGAAAACGGAUUGAUCUGAAAAAUAAAGACACUGGGAUUAGGUCAGACAAAUCUUCCCUCAGAACUCCUGCUGAGCUGGCUGCUCUCAGCUCUUCCUGCAGCAGCAGCAGCAGCAGGAUGCAGCAGCAGCAGGCAGGGACGGGCAGCAGGCUGCAGUGGGGAGGCCCAGCAAGGCACGCUGAGACACGAGAUUCCUGUGCUGUUCCUGCCCAGCUGAUGAACAGGAUCCUGCUGGAAAACACCAGGGAGGCCGUGAAACAGGUGACAGAAGCUGAAAUCCAUGAGACUUCAACCUGUCCUGACUGCCUGCAGAAGGAAGCAGAGCUGGCCAAGGUUGCCUUUCUC
rnacentral:lncRNA from 1 species